AAGAGAUUGUUGAAUAAAAAUAGCUGCUAACUAAUUUUUAAAGCGGUUAAAUUCCGUUUGUCUCUUU
rnacentral:tRNA from 2 species